rnacentral:rRNA from 1 species
CCUACGGGUGGCAGCAGUGGGGAAUAUUGCACAAUGGGGGAAACCCUGAUGCAGCGACGCCGCGUGAGUGAAGAAGUAUCUCGGUACGUAAAGCUCUAUCAGCAGGGAAGAAAAUGACGGUACCUGACUAAGAAGCCCCGGCUAACUACGUGCCAGCAGCCGCGGGAAUACGUAGGGGGCAAGCGGUAUCCGGAUUUACUGGGGGUAAAGGGUGCGUCGGCGGCAGCACAAGUCUGGAGUGAAAUCCCGGGGCUUAACCCCGGAACUGCUGUGGAAAAUGUGCGGCUGGAGUGCAGGAGAGGUAAGCGGAAUUCCUAGUGUAGCGGUGAAAUGUGUAGAUAUUAGGAGGAACACCGGUGGCGAAGGCGGCUUACUGGACUGUAACUGACGUUGAGGCUCGAAAGCGUGGGGAGCAAACAGGAUUAGAUACCCCAGUAGUC